rnacentral:rRNA from 1 species
AGUUUGAUCCUGGCUCAGAUUGAACGCUGGCGGAUGCUUACACAUGCAAGUCGAACGGCAGCACGGACUUCGGUCUGGUGGCGAGUGGCGAACGGGUGAGUAAUGUAUCGGAACGUGCCUAGUAGCGGGGGAUAACUACGCGAAAGCGUAGCUAAUACUGCAUACGCUCCUUCGGGGGAAAGCGGGGGACCGGGCCUCGCACUAUUAGAGCAACGAUAUCGGAUUAGCUAGUUGGUGGGGUAACGGCUCACUGCGGCGUGACGAUCCGUAGCCGGUUUGAGGGGACGACCAGCCACACUGGGACUGAGACACGGCCCAGACUCCUACGGGGAGGCAGCAGUGGGGAAUUUUGGACAAUGGGGGGAAACCCUGAUCCAGCCAUCCUGCGUGUGCGAUGAAGGCCUUCGGGCUGUAAAGCACUUUUGGCAGGAAAGAAACGGCACGGAUAAUACCCCGUGCAACUGAUUGAAAAUACCUGCAGAAUAAGCACCGGCUAACUACGUGCCAGCAGCCGCGGUAAUACGUAGGGUGCAAGCGUUAAUCGGAAUUACUUUCGGGCGUAAAGGUGCGCAGGCGGUUCGGAAAGAAAGAUGUGAAAUCCCAGAGCUUAACUUUGGAACUGCAUUUUUAACUACCGCUGAGCUAGAGUGUGUCAGAGGGAGGUGGAAUUCGCGUGUAGCAGUGAAAUGCGUAGAUAUGCGGAGGAACACCGAUGGCGAAGGCAGCCUCCUGGGAUAACACUGACGCUCAUGCACGAAAGCGUGGGGAGCAAACAGGAUUAGAUACCCCGGUAGUCCACGCUCAAACGAUGUCAACUAGCUGUCACUUCGGGCCUUGGUGGUAGCGCAGCUAACGUGAAGUUGACCGCCUGGGGAGUACGGUCGCAAGAUUAAAACUCAAAGGAAUUGACGGGGACCCGCACAAGCGGUGGAUGAUGUGGAUUAAUUCGAUGCAACGCGAAAACUUACCUACCCUUGACAUGUCUGGAAUCCCGAAGAGAUUUGGGAGUGCUCGCAAGAGAACCGAACACAGGUGCUGCAUGGUUGUCGUCAGCUCGUGUCGUGAGAUGUUGGGUUAAGUCCCGCAACGAGCGCAACCCUUGUCAUUAGUUGCUGGCUUUAGAAAGGGCACUCUAAUGAGACUGCCGGUGACAAACUGGAGGAAGGUGGGGAUGACGUCAAGUCUCAUGGCCCUUAUGGGUAGGGCUUCACACGUCAUACAAUGGUCGGGACAGAGGGUCGCCAACCCGCGAGGGGGAGCCAAUCCCAGAAACCCGAUCGUAGUCCGGAUCGCAGUCUGCAACUCGACUGCGUGAAGUCGGAAUCGCUAGUAAUCGCGGAUCAGCAUGUCGCGGUGAAUACGUUCCCGGGUCUUGUACACACCACCCGUCACACCAUGGGAGUGGGUUUUACCAGAAGUAGUUAGCCUAACCGCGAGGGCGAUUACCACGGUAGGAUUCAUGACUGGGGUGAAGUCGUAACAAGGUAG